UACGUAGGUGACAAGCGUUGUCCGGAUUUACUGGGCGUAAAGAGCGCGCAGGCGGUCGUUCAAGUCGCGUGUGAAAGCCCCCGGCUCAACUGGGGAGGGUCACGCGAUACUGAUCGACUCGAAGGCAGGAGAGGGUAGUGGAAUUCCCGGUGUAGUGGUGAAAUGCGUAGAUAUCUGGAGGAACAUCAGUGGCGAAGGCGACUACCUGGCCUGUUCUUGACGCUGAGGCGCGAAAGCUAGGGGAGCAAACGGGG
rnacentral:rRNA from 1 species